UGCAGCAGCGGGCGACGUGUUUUUUACCGCUGCGUAAACAAAAUUUUGUGAUAAGAUAUAUAUCUAAGCGGACAGCUACCAAACAAAAUAAAACGCGACUUAACUGUAUGUGUGUAUGCGAAACUACUGUACACGAGUGCAAGGCAGAUCAACGAGGGCGGAUUAAAACUCACACGCACUGCGCCCCAGCUUACGACGAAGCUGUGUUUUGUUAGUAUAUGUGCCCAAGUGUUUAUGUGUGUGUGUGUAUGUGUGUGUGUGAGUGAGUGUGCGUGCGUGCUUGCGGUUGUGUGUGUGUGUGUGCGUCUCGGGCAGCAAAACCAAGUCGAAGAUAGCCCGAAAACAGAAGUUGUCUGUCUGUCAACAUUUUUUACAAGGCCAAAGUCAGCAGUGCAAAAGGGCCGCAAGUGAAACAUAAAAAAUAAACAGGUGAAAAAUAUAUAGAAUACAUUUAAGCACAGCUCAAAGAACAAGAAGAAGAAGAGGCGACCAACUUCAGAAGCAAAGGGCAAAAUACCAACAGAAAAUCUGGUCGCAAGUCGAAAGUGACGCAUAAAAACCAGAACCAAAUUAUAAUAAUAAAAAAGAGUUGAACUCGUUUUGCUGAGUAUUUGGUAUGAUGGAGCUGGAGCCGCGUGUGGCCAUAUUGCAGGAUCUGCGUCUACAGACCUUCGACUCGAUACGCUUUGCUUCCUAUCGCACCGCCUCCAAGUUGCGCUAUAUACAGAAGUCAACGAACUUGCAUCUGGUCGACAUUUGGAAUGUGAUCGAGGCGUUUCGCGAAAACGGCCUCAACACCCUCGAGCCGCAGAGCGAUGUGAGCGUUGCUCGCCUGGAGACGCUCGUCUCCUCGCUCUAUCACAAUCUGAAUAAGCGUUUGCCAACGGCCCAACAGGUGCCCGUGGACUCAAAGGCUGGUCUGUUGCUCAAUUGGCUGCUGGCUGCUUAUACCAGUGACAACUCUGGCAAGAUACGCGUAUUUUCCAUUAAAGUGGCGUUGGCAACCAUGUGCUCCGGCAAGCUGGUGGAUAAACUCAGAUAUAUCUUUUCACAGAUUUCGGAUGGCGCUGGUCAGCUGGUGGCGUGGAAGUUGGGAGAGUUUUUGCGUGAGGUAUUAGCGCUGCCGGCGGCCGUUUAUGAGUCGCCUACAUUCCAUUAUAAGGAGGGGCUGGAGGAGGAGAUCUUUCCGGCCGAGAAUAAGGUCACCGUGAACGAUUUCAUGGCAACACUUAUGUCCGAACCGGGACCAUCGUGUCUCGUGUGGCUGCCGCUGUUGCAUCGGCUGGCCACCGUUGAGACUAUUGUGCAUCCGACGAUCUGUUCUGUUUGCCAUAAGGAAAACUUUACUGGAUUUCGUUAUCGUUGUCAGCGCUGUCACGCCUACCAGUUGUGCCAGGAGUGCUUUUGGCAUGGCAAGACAUCGCUGAACCACCAAAACGAUCACGAGGUCAAGGAGUACUCGAGCUACAAGUCCCCCAGCAAACAGAUUGGUCACUCCUUGCGCAAGAGCUUCCGAUGCGUGCCCGAAAAGACGACGCAAGUGUUGCCACGAUUCCCCGACCAGCCCGAAAAGACUCUCAAUCUGUCGCACAUUGUGCCACCCUCGCCGUUGCCCUCGCACAACGGCUUCUCCGAUCCGGCGCUGGCCCAUCUCCACGGCCCCGGACCCGGGCCAGGUCAUAGCGGCAUCUUUGAUCGCUCCAGCACACUGGAUUCGCGUGCCACCGGUCGCAGCCUGGACACCACAAUGUCCCGUGUGGCUGCCGCCUCGGCCAACGAUGAAGAGCAUCGGCUCAUUGCCCGCUAUGCCGCACGACUCGCCCAGGAGAAUCGCGCUCCCUCCAAUAUGCCCAACGCGGAGAGCAUCACGCCCAUUGGCACGGACAAUUCGCGGGCGCAGCGGGAGCUGAUUGCGCAGCUGGAGUCCAAGAACAAGGAGAUUAUGCGUGAAAUAGCGCGCCUGCGACGCCAGCAGGAGACUGAGCAGAUGGCACCGGAGAAUCCUGCGCUGAUCAACGAGCUGCGCGCACUGCGGCAGCGCAAGGGCGAACUGGAGGGGCAUCUGGGUGCGUUGCAGGACUCGCGACGGCAAUUGAUGGAGCAGCUGGAGGGCCUGAUGCGUAUGCUCAAGAAUCAGCAGACUGCCUCGCCGCGCUCCACGCCCAAUUCCAGUCCACGCUCGGGCAAAUCGCCGCCCAUGCCAGGUGGAGCUGGUGGUGGUGGGGCUGGCGCUGGAUGUGGUCCCGCUGGCGGCGGCGGUGGUGUUUUGGGCACCUCGCCGAUGAGCGCACUGCAUGCCCAGCAGUUGCAACAGUUGCAGCAGCAUCCCAUGCUGCGCUCCACACAGCAGCAACUGAUGCAGGCACAACAACAACAACAACAGCAGCAACAACAGCAGCAGUCUCAAUCCUCGCCUGGUCUUGGCCAUGGUCCAUUUAGCCAGAGCCAGCUGGAGCAGCUCAAUCAGAUAAGCAGCGAUAUGCGCAGCGCCUUUGCCGCCAAUGGAAGUGCAACCCCACCGCCCAUGUGCAACGCUAAUCCGACAGCCGAUGCCGAACUGAACGAAACCGCCGACAACAUAACGUCGGCCAUUUCGACGAUGGUCAGCGAUCUGAAUGCAGGACAAGCAGCCAGCGGCUCCUUGGCGCAGGCACGUUUCAUUAUGCCAUUGGAGUAUCGUCACAUCGAGGGCCGCGAAUCCGAUUGCGAUUGCGACUGUGAUUGCAAUUGUGACUGCGAUUGCCAGGUGUACGAGGAGAUCUUUCGCACCGAUGAGGAUCUUGAGUGCGAGGGUGGCGCCACUGCCGCUGUUCCCCUCAAUGAUGAUGAUUCUAUGCUGCUUUCGCCGGUGCAAUAUGACUAUAAUUUUGGGCAGACCGACGAGCAGUCUCAGCUGAAUCGCAUACUCGCCUAUCGCUACCAUCCCGAACUCUUCAUCGAUGAUGACGAGGCCGGUUUUCCGGCACUGCACGAGAUCGGUGAGACAAUCGAUGAACUGCAGCUGAUAAUGCACGCUUACAUUAUGAAAUAUAGUUUGAAUAUAUAAAAAAACAAAUAACAAAUACAAAUACAGUUGUAGCUUAACGCGUUAAUCAGAUUUCGAUGAAUCUCAAUCAUAUAAUCCCGAAUGGAAUGAAAAGGCAAAUGCGAAUAGC
rnacentral:misc_RNA from 1 species